AAAGAAUUCAUCUCAUUACAUAAUUACAUAAGUGUGGUGAAAUAGCUCCAACUAUUAAUUGAUUUCAAUAUAAAGUGUAACAGCCUGCAAAUGAAGGAUCUUUUGACUUUGCUUUCAUGAGUGUGUUGUAUACUCUGUAGCUGAGUUUUGGGGAGCAAUUGCAGCUCAUCACAGAAACUCAGAAGAUGAAGACACAGGUUUUUCAUUUGUAAAUUGCACAAUGAAAGGAACUGGUAGUGUUUUUCUUGGGAGAGCAUGUAUAUUUUGUUCUUAUUUUUAUUUUACUACUUCUAUUAAAGGUCCCUGGAAGUUCUGCAGAGUCUGCAACAAAUGCAUAAAAUGCAUGAAUGAUUCUUGUCUAAGAUCAGAAGCCAAGAAAUUAAUUCCUACUUGGAAAUCACCUUAUCCUUGAGUUUCUUUGGUUGAACUGAUAUAGGUUUAAAAUUACAUGAACUUGUGAUUGUUGAGAUAUUAUGUGCUCUUAAAAAAAUGCACGAAUGAUUAUUUUGAUAGUUUAUAUAUAUAAGUUGAUUUUGUCUGUGUAAGUUUUUCAUAUUAUUACCAAAUCAUCAUGUAAUACUGUCACAAUCAAUGGUACCAGACUUAAAACCAAAGUCAAAAAGGGUUUCAUUGUCUUUCUGACAUUAAUAUCGUCUAAACUUCAAGCAACAACAUCCAGCCAUUGCUAAGUCAUAAGGGUGAGAUUUAUAUGUAAAAUGACCGACCCAUCAUUGAGAAUGAAUAAGUUAUUUGCUUUGCUCGUAAUCCUAAGCUUUAAGAGAGGCUAUUGAAGCUGCUCCUCAACAAGAACAUGAGAAACUAAGGCUGCAUCAAGCCAAGCUUGAUAAUCUUCAAGCUGAAUACAAAGUCAUGAUGCAAAAUUGUACUGAAUCCAUAGAAACAUAAAAUAUGCAG